rnacentral:ncRNA from 1 species
GACCGUCACUUGCACUUUCUCUCGACGGUCGCGGCUG